rnacentral:rRNA from 1 species
ACGGAAGGCAGCAGUGAGGAAUAUUGGUCAAUGGGCGAAAGCCUGAGCCAGCCAAGUCGCGUGAAGGAUGAAGGUAUUAUGUAUUGUAAACUUCUUUAGCAGCAGAGUAAUAAGGGGGUCGUGACCCCCGAUGCAAGUAUGCUGAAAAUAAGGAUCGGCUAACUCCGUGCCAGCAGCCGCGGUAAUACGGAGGAUCCGAGCGUUAUCCGGAUUUAUUGGGUUUAAAGGGUGCGCAGGCGGUUUUUUAAGUCAGUGGUUAAAUCGUGAGGCUCAACCUCAUCACGCCAUUGAUACUGGAAGACUUGAUUGCGGUUGAGGUUGGCGGAAUUCGUCGUGUAGCGGUGAAAUGCAUAGAUAUGACGAAGAACACCGAUUGCGUAGGCAGCUGACCAAGCCGUAAAUGACGCUCAUGCACGAAAGUGCGGGGAUCGAACAGGAUUAGAUACCCUGGUA